UACGGGAGGCAGCAGUGGGGAAUAUUGCACAAUGGGCGCAAGCCUGAUGCAGCCAUGCCGCGUGUAUGAAGAAGGCCUUCGGGUUGUAAAGUACUUUCAGUCGUGAGGAAGGUGUUAAGGUUAAUAACCUUAGCAAUUGACGUUAGCGACAGAAGAAGCACCGGCUAACUCCGUGCCAGCAGCCGCGGUAAUACGGAGGGUGCGAGCGUUAAUCGGAAUUACUGGGCGUAAAGGGCACGCAGGCGGUUAAUUAAGUUGGAUGUGAAAUCCCCGGGCUUAACCUGGGAAUGGCAUUCAAGACUGGUUAGCUAGAGUCUUGUAGAGGGGGUUAGAAUUCCAUGUGUAGCGGUGAAAUGCGUAGAGAUGUGGAGGAAUACCGGUGCGAAGCGGCCCCUGGACAAGACUGACGCUCAUGUGCGAAAGCGUGGGGAGCAAAC
rnacentral:rRNA from 1 species